rnacentral:pre_miRNA from 1 species
AAGAAGAGGAAGGGUGUACUCCCUUGACUUUCCGUUUUAUAUGAAAUUUUUUUAUAAUUCGUAUUUUCAUUAUUAUUAUAUGAUAAAACAUGACUAAUAUUUUAUACGUGACUUAUCUUUUAAUUUUUUUUAUAUUUUUUUAAAUAAGAAGGACGGUCAAAUGUUAGGCACAGAAAUU